rnacentral:rRNA from 1 species
UACGGAGGGUGCGAGCGUUGUCCGGAAUCAUUGGGCGUAAAGGGCGCGUAGGUGGCCCGGUGAGUCUUUGGUGAAAGCGCGGGGCUCAACCCUGCGUCGGCCAGGGACACUGCCGCGGCUCGAGCACUGUAGAGGCAGGCGGAAUUCCGGGUGUAGCGGUGGAAUGCGUAGAGAUCCGGAAGAACACCGGUGGCGAAGGCGGCCUGCUGGGCAGUGGCUGACGCUGAGGCGCGACAGCGUGGGGAGCAAACAGG